rnacentral:rRNA from 1 species
UACGGGGGGGGUAAGCGUUGUUCGGAAUUACUGGGCGUAAAGGGCUCGUAGGCGGCCAACUAAGUCGGACGUGAAAUCCCUCAGCUUAACUGGGGAACUGCGUCCGAUACUGGAUGGCUUGGAUUUGGGAGAGGGAUGCGGAAUUCCAGGUGUAGCGGUGAAAUGCGCAGAUAUCGGGAAGAACACCCGUGGCGAAGGCGGUUCUCUGGGACGGUACUGACGCUGAGACGCGAAAGCGUGGGGAGCGAACAGG